UACGGAGGGUGCAAGCGUUGUUCGGAAUUAUUGGGCGUAAAGCGCGCGUAGGCGGACUGUUAAGUCUGAUGUGAAAUCCCUCGGCUCAACCGAGGAACUGCAUUGGAUACUGGCAGCCUUGAGUCUCGGAGAGGAAAGCGGAAUUCCCAGUGUAGAGGUGAAAUUCGUAGAUAUUGGGAGGAACACCAGCGGCGAAGGCGGCUUUCUGGACGAUGACUGACGCUGAGGUGCGAAAGCAUGGGUAGCAAAC
rnacentral:rRNA from 1 species